rnacentral:lncRNA from 1 species
AUGGCGGACAACCCUUCUCCCUGCUGGGACAGGUUACCCAGCGUAGCGGUUGGUCGGCCACUCCUCACAGGGUCCAGCUUUUUGGGAAAGGCGGGCUCUGCAUUAGCCGCUGUGUUAUCCCUCGUGUUGCGCUGGGUGCAGGCAUGUGCACACCUCCAGUCCCAAGGCUCCACACACAAGCACGCCGUGUCGUCACCUGCAGCUGCACUGGUCCCGACUGGCUGGACCUGUCAUGGCAGCGCCCGCGUUGCUUCCCGCUGGGGAGACACUAUUAAUUGGUCAUUUGUUUUUUCACCUGUCUGGGGCGCUUAUGUAACCGGCAAACUGGCAACGAGGUCACGGCUCCUCACGCAGAGGCCAACGUUGAUCCCUGAUCCGCCUGCUGUUUGCGAGCCUGACCUGCUGAGGGGGUUAUGAAACGCUUUCUAUAUUGGUGUAAUUAUGUGUUGACAUUUGAGCAUCAUAAAACACUGAUAAGUACACAGGUGUAUUGAAUAUGUAAUUAUGUAAUGAUGUUUAUCUUGCAUUAUUUGUAAUUGAAAUUCGCUGAGUGUCAGUUCCUGAACCCUGUAAAACAAAGGCCAUGCGUGCUGUGAAAUCUGACCUACUGGCUGAAGAGCGUCCUUGGAUUAGCAUUUAUUGCCAUAACCUCUGUCAUUACAUUCAUACCAGAGAUUUUAUGGAGAGAAGUCACCCUCAUUCAGACGCCGCUGCCUGGAAUCUGAGCAAGGUGCUAAGAAGCCUCCCGCCACACCCUAAGCAUGUUGUGAAACAGUUGCUCUGUCAAAGUGACAAUGCAACUUGUGUUACAUCUCUCACACCGGCAGAACCAGAUGUGUUCAAAUGGAGAAAAUCAUUAACAAUACGCAGAAAAUGAAACACUCCUGACAGAUUAUGACCUGAUUGACUGUAACCAGGUUUUAUCCUGCCUUGUCUCAAUCGUUUUACUGCAGAUUUCACUUCAGUAAAACAUUAUGUAAUAUUCAUAAUUCAGGUUCUGGGAAUUUUUUUGGUCAUUUGUGAAAUGUCCUUUAGAUCACAUGCACAGAGGAGCUGGACCACGAACUCCACGGGGGAGUCUGAUCCGUGGGGUUUGGCCACUGCCUGAGUGCACGUGAGAAACCACACAGAAAAUUCCUUGUGUUGUUUUUAAGAAAUGAACUCAAUGAAUUCACUUCUCAGACAUCACAACAAUUGAACCUGUAAUCUCUUAAAAAGUACGAGCAUCAUUAUUUGAAAUGGACUAGAGAUGUGUAAAUGCAGUGAACUAAAUUGUGUUGGAAAACCACCGCGACCGUUAAUGAUGCUUCAAAUGAACCUCAUGGACAACGUGAGGCACAUCCGCCUUGUCAAGUCCAUAUCACUGAAACGGCCCCGUUCUUCCUCCUCCAUCCACGCCGUCCACUAAUCUCAACCU